rnacentral:rRNA from 1 species
GACAUCCAGAGAACUUAGCAGAGAUGCUUUGGUGCCUUCGGGAACUCUGAGACAGGUGCUGCAUGGCUGUCGUCAGCUCGUGUUGUGAAAUGUUGGGUUAAGUCCCGNAACGAGCGCAACCCUUAUCCUUUGUUGCCAGCGGCUCGGCCGGGAACUCAAAGGAGACUGCCGGUGAUAAACCGGAGGAAGGUGGGGAUGACGUCAAGUCAUCAUGGCCCUUACGGCCAGGGCUACACACGUGCUACAAUGGCGCAUACAAAGAGAAGCGACCUCGCGAGAGCAAGCGGACCUCAUAAAGUGCGUCGUAGUCCGGAUUGGAGUCUGCAACUCGACUCCAUGAAGUCGGAAUCGCUAGUAAUCGUAGAUCAGAAUGCUACGGUGAAUACGUUCCCGGGCUUGUACACACCGCCCGUCACACCAUGGGAGUGGGUUGCAAAAGAAGUAGGUAGCUUAACCUUCGGGAGGGCGCUUACCACUUUGUGAUUCAUGACUGGGGUGAAGUCGUAACAAGGUAGGCGUACGUGU